CAUCUCUGGCGUGAGAAGCGGGCGCUUACCCGACUGAGCUACCACCGCUCGCUAAACUGUAUCGCUUCUACUACAAGAAAUUCAACAUCAUCUUUAAUUUAUUUCCACCAGAAAUAAUGCAGUUACUCCAAUGAACCAGUUGUUAUGCACACUCCGAUAUUAUGCAACUGGCAGUCAGUUAAUUACUUGUGGAGAUGUGAUAGGUGUGGAAGAACCAACAGCUUGCAGAAUCAUUCAUAGAGUUACUCAUGCAAUAGCAUUAUUGUAUAAAAAAUACAUUAAAUCUCCUGAUACCAUUCAGGAACAACGUUUUUUUGCUCUCUAUAAUGUGCAAGUAUGGUUCCAAUACAUUGCACAAUAAAUCUUGUUCUUCCCUUGUAAAAUUAGGGGCACGAACACGAGAAGAAGUUGCUUGACUAUUCAUUUUACUUUGAAAUCACAACAACAAAUAAAUACAAACACCACCACGCGGUGAAAGCCGAAAUAAGUUUUGUUUAUGUUUUGAAAUAAGUAGUGUUAUUUUCUCUAUGUUUGAAAUUGAUAGAUUGACUCCGUUUUACGCUGAGUCGUUUCGAAUGUUCAAUAAAAAAUAUGAAGUCUCUCAUUAAAAGAUGUGGAACUGAACGUAAAUAACAAAUCGCAGGAUGCUAAACGCAUUUAACUAAAUAGUAAU